rnacentral:rRNA from 1 species
GACGAACGCUGGCGGCGUGCCUAAUACAUGCAAGUAGAACGCUGAAGGAGGAGCUUGCUUCUCCGGAUGAGUUGCGAACGGGUGAGUAACGCGUAGGUAACCUGCCUGGUAGCGGGGGAUAACUAUUGGAAACGAUAGCUAAUACCGCAUAACAGUAGAUAUUGCAUGAUAUCUGCUUGAAAGGUGCAAUUGCAUCACUACCAGAUGGACCUGCGUUGUAUUAGCUAGUUGGUGGGGUAACGGCUCACCAAGGCGACGAUACAUAGCCGACCUGAGAGGGUGAUCGGCCACACUUGGACUUAGACACGGCCCAGACUCCUACGGGAGGCAGCAGUAGGGAAUCUUCGGCAAUAGACGGAAGUCUGACCGAGCAACGCCGCGUGAGUGAAGAAGGGUGUCGGAUCGUAAAGCUCUGUUGUAAGAGAAGAACGAGUGUGAGAGUGGAAAGUUCACACUGUGACGGUAUCUGACCAGAAAGGGACGGCUAACUACGUG